CAGGGAGGAUAUUACCGAGUUUACAACUCCCAACCCCUGUGAACAUACCUAUACGUUGCCUCGGCGGAUCAGCCCGCGCCCCGUAAAACGGGACGGCCCGCCCGAGGACCCCUAAACUCUGUUUUUAGUGGAACUUCUGAGUAAAACAAACAAAUAAAUCAAAACUUUCAACAACGGAUCUCUUGGUUCUGGCAUCGAUGAAGAACGCAGCAAAAUGCGAUAAGUAAUGUGAAUUGCAGAAUUCAGUGAAUCAUCGAAUCUUUGAACGCACAUUGCGCCCGCCAGUAUUCUGGCGGGCAUGCCUGUUCGAGCGUCAUUUCAACCCUCAAGCUCAGCUUGGUGUUGGGACUCGCGGUAACCCGCGUUCCCCAAAUCGAUUGGCGGUCACGUCGAGCUUCCAUAGCGUAGUAAUCAUACACCUCGUUACUGGUAAUCGUCGCGGCCACGCCGUAAAACCCCAACUUCUGAAUGUUGACCUCGGAUCAGGUAGGAAUACCCGCUGAACUUAAGCAUAUC
rnacentral:rRNA from 1 species